UCAGGAUAUAUUCGUGGAACAGUUUUAGAGAUUCUAAAGAUUAAGUUUUAUUUAUAUCAAACGUAGUUAGUACAUUUUAGAUUAUUUCUAAACAUGUACUUACUUGUUAGGCACAAAAUACAAUAUUUAAAAAUCGUUUAUUUAGAGAAAACAGUAUUGUAUCUAUAUAAAUAUCUCUGAUGUAUUCGUUUGACACUCGACUACAAAAAUCCCAUCUUUAUCCGUUCGAUCGAAUCCCACGGAACAAUUAGUCUCGACACGAGAAAACGCUUUGACCGAGAGAAUUCUGUAAAACAAUAUUUUUUUCCGUCACGGGCGGCGUUGAUUCGAAAAAUACGUUACAAGGAACGUGUUAUAUCUUGGAGAAUUUCAACGGACGAGAUGGGACGGGCCCAAAAAUGGUCGGGAUCGAGAAGAAAGAUAAGAUGGGAAUGGCGUGUCCCAGCAUGUUUUCAGAGUUUGCGUGGUAAUUGUCCAACCAUAUGCUCGAAACUCGCCCACCGAAACGAUAAUCGAAAGAAGCUUGGGCUUAUGAGUCUCGAUUACAAGCGUGGAGAGCUUCCUCUUAAUUAUAAUAUUUAAAUUUCCCGCGCGAGGUCAGGCCAUGUGUUCAAACCUACCGCGCCCUCUUUAUCUUCUCGCAUACAAGGUGAUGCGUCUAUUUCGUUUAGCCAAUGUGGCGGCUAUUUGCAUGGGUACGUGUUCUUGUGCACAUGCAAAUUGUGUGAGGGUUACGCGAGAAAAAUAUUGGUUAAACACUGGACGGUUAUCAAGAUUGGACAACGAUAAUUCAUUACCUUAAUAUGGCCGCAUCAGAUAGAACGUUGUGAGUGACUGCUCGAAGAAACACGAGGCUACGUUUAGAUUAUUUCAAAAGUGGUGAAUGAAUUACUUUUUUCUGUUUCUUAUUUUGCUCUGUGCGAUACACGUGAUAAGAAACAACAUUGUAUUCAACGUGAAAUCCAAAGAUUGUGAUUAACGAAGAUAACCAGAAUAACAUUAGAGUAUUGCGUUGAAUUCGUCGCGGAUACUGGACGAUGAUUUGUCAUCGGAUGGGUAACGAUGCAAGCGACAAAUCUCGCUCGUCUGGCGUAUUGAUGAACAUCGAUAAUAUAUGAUACUCAAUAAUGACAAGCUACCAUUGAUUAUAUCGUUUUCACUCCUCGUACACCUGCACGCGCCAUGUAUCCUUUCUGAAACUGGUGCAUAAUUAAAGGAUUCGAUUAAACGAUAAA